CGCGUGAGGAACCUGCCUUUCAGAGGGGGACAACAGUUGGAAACGACUGCUAAUACCGCAUAAUAUAUGUUUGUCGCAUGGCAGAUAUAUCAAAGAUUUAUCGCUGAGAGAUGGCCUCGCGUCUGAUUAGCUAGUUGGUAGGGUAACGGCCUACCAAGGCGACGAUCAGUAGCCGGACUGAGAGGUUGGCCGGCCACAUUGGGACUGAGAUACGGCCCAGACUCCUACGGAAGGCAGCAG
rnacentral:rRNA from 1 species